rnacentral:lncRNA from 1 species
CUGAGAAGAAGGCAUUUGCUAGAUCAGUAGCUGCAUACAAGGUACCUACUUCUGUCCUAGUUAGGGUUUUAAUGUUGUGAACAGACAUCAUGACCAAGGUAAAUCUUAGAAGGACAACAUUUAUUGGGCCUGGCUUACAGGUCAGAGGUUUAGUCCAUUGUCAUUAAGGUAGGAGCAUGGCAGAGUCCAGGUAGGCGUGUUGCAGGAGAAGCUGAGAGUUCUACAUCUUCAUAUGAAGGCCACUAGGAGAAGACUGACUUCUAGGCAGCAAGAGUAAGGGUCUUAAAUCACAAGCCCACAGUGACACAAUUCCUCCAACAAGGCCACACCUAUUGUAACAAGGCUACACCUGCAAAUAGUGCCACUUCCUGGGCCAAGCAUAUUCAAACCACCACACUAAUUCUCUAGUGUCUAUAGCUAGAAGCUCAUCUUGUGGCAGAGGUGGACACACAGGUGGCUCUAUAUCUUUGAUCAUUAGCAAUGCUGUUGAUGGUCAAGGUACUAUGGAACACAAGGGGAAAAUAACUAACCCAUUCUGUGCAUGGGGUAAGAAUUAGACAUUACUCCUUAGGUUGAGUCUUGAAGGGUACAUAGAGCUAGACAGGAGGUUAGGCACCUCUGAAGAGGGGGAGGGGACCACAUGGUGUCUGAGUUCAAUCUGUUAGAGAAGUCCCCAUCACUCAUGAGAAAACAGGGCAACUCUUGCUUCAGGGGUUGGCAGUCCUGGGCUACCAUGUUGCCAACGUCUCUCUCCAACUGGCAUUGAACAAAUAUUAGUGGACCGAGCCCUGGAGCCCAGCAGAAGGAAGAGAGAACAGAGCAGAGAAAUCCCUGUGUAGACACAACAGUGAAUCCUGACUGUGCUCCAGGACAAGGACAUGGAGGACAAAUGUGAGCACAUGACAUCAGAAACAUAUGCAGAGAGACAAAGUCUACACUCAAGCAAGGCCUGUCCUGAUCUCCCUUUUGC